UGGGGAAUUUUGGACAAUGGGGGCAACCCUGAUCCAGCCAUGCCGCGUGCGGGAAGAAGGCCUUCGGGUUGUAAACCGCUUUUGUCGGGGAAGAAAUCUUCUGGGCUAAUACCUCAGGAGGAUGACGGUACCCGAAGAAUAAGCACCGGCUAACUACGUGCCAGCAGCCGCGGUAAUACGUAGGGUGCAAGCGUUAAUCGGAAUUACUGGGCGUAAAGCGUGCGCAGGCGGUCUUGCAAGACAGAUGUGAAAUCCCCGGGCUUAACCUGGGAACUGCAUUUGUGACUGCAAGGCUGGAGUGCGGCAGAGGGGGAUGGAAUUCCGCGUGUAGCAGUGAAAUGCGUAGAUAUGCGGAGGAACACCGAUGGCGAAGGCAAUCCCCUGGGCCUGCACUGACGCUCAUGCACGAAAGCGUGGGGAGCAAACAGGAUUAGAUACCCGUGUAGUCC
rnacentral:rRNA from 1 species